rnacentral:rRNA from 1 species
UACGGGGGGGGCAAGCGUUGUUCGGAAUCACUGGGCGUAAAGGGUGCGUAGGCGGGUCUUUAAGUCAGGGGUGAAAUCCUGGAGCUCAACUCCAGAACUGCCUUUGAUACUGAGGAUCUUGAGUUCGGGAGAGGUGAGUGGAACUGCGAGUGUAGAGGUGAAAUUCGUAGAUAUUCGCAAGAACACCAGUGGCAAAGGCGGCUCACUGGCCCGAUACUGACGCUGAGGCACGAAAGCGUGGGGAGCAAACAGG